rnacentral:misc_RNA from 1 species
GAAAUGCGAUAAGUAAUGUGAAUUGCAGAAUUCAGUGAAUCAUCGAAUCUUUGAACGCACCUUGCGCUCCUUGGUAUUCCUUGGAGCAUGCCUGUUUGAGUAUCAUGAAAUCUUCAAAGUAAAUCUUUUGUUAACUCAAUUGGUUUCUACUUUGGUAUUGGAGGUCUUUGCAGCUUCACACCUGCUCCUCUUUGUUCAUUAGCUGGAUCUCAGUGUUAUGCUUGGUUCCACUCGGCGUGAUAAGUUAUCUAUCGCUGAGGACACUGUAAAAGGUGGCCAAGGUAAAUGCAGAUGAACCGCUUCUAAUAGUCCAUUGGCUUGGACAAUACUUUUAUGAUCUGAUCUCAAAUCAUGUAGGACUACCCGCUGAACUUAAGC